UGCGUAGGCGGCUCUCUAAGUCGGAUGUGAAAACUCUGGGCUCAACCCAGAGCCUGCAUCUGAAACUGGAGGGCUAGGGUUUUGGGGGGGAAAGCGGAAUUCCUGGUGUAGCGGUGAAAUGCGUAGAUAUCGGGAGGAACACCUGUGGCGAAAGCGGCGCACUGGACCACAACUGACGCUGAGGCGCGAAAGCUAGGGGAGCAAACA
rnacentral:rRNA from 1 species